rnacentral:rRNA from 1 species
UGGGGAAUAUUGGACAAUGGGCGCAAGCCUGAUCCAGCCAUGCCGCGUGUGUGAAGAAGGCCUUUUGGUUGUAAAGCACUUUAAGCGAGGAGGAGGCUACUUGGAUUAAUACUCUAGGAUAGUGGACGUUACUCGCAGAAUAAGCACCGGCUAACUCUGUGCCAGCAGCCGCGGUAAUACAGAGGGUGCGAGCGUUAAUCGGAUUUACUGGGCGUAAAGCGUGCGUAGGCGGCUUCUUAAGUCGGAUGUGAAAUCCCUGAGCUUAACUUAGGAAUUGCGUUCGAUACUGGGAAGCUAGAGUAUGGGAGAGGAUGGUAGAAUUCCAUGUGGAGCGGUGAAAUGCGUAGAGAUCUGGAGGAAUACCGAUGGAGAAGGCAGCCAUCUGGCCUAAUACUGACGCUGAGGUACGAAAGCAUGGGGAGCAAACAGG